UAGGGAAUCUUCCACAAUGGGCGAAAGCCUGAUGGAGCAACGCCGCGUGUGUGAUGAAGGCUUUAGGGUCGUAAAGCACUGUUGUAUGGGAAGAAAUGCUAGAAUAGGGAAUGAUUCUAGUUCGACGGUACCAUACCAGAAAGGGACGGCUAAAUACGUGCCAGCAGCCGCGGUAAUACGUAUGUCCCGAGCGUUAUCCGGAUUUACUGGGCGUAAAGCGAGCGCAGACGGUUGAUUAAGUCUGAUGUGAAAGCCCGGAGCUCAACUCCGGAAUGGCAUUGGAAACUGGUUAACUUGAGUGUUGUAGAGGUAAGUGGAACUCCAUGUGUAGCGGUGGAAUGCGUAGAUAUAUGGAAGAACACCAGUGGCGAAGGCGGCUUACUGGACAACAACUGACGUUGAGGCUCGAAAGUGUGGGUAGCAAACAGGANUAGAUACCCUGGUAGUCCACACCGUNNCGAUGAAUACUAGGUGUUAGGAGGUUUCCNCCUCUUANUGNCGAAGCUAACNCAUUAANUANUCCGCCUGGGGAGUACNACCGCAAGGNUG
rnacentral:rRNA from 1 species